GUAGACGUGGCAGACAGAAAUCUAAACAUCACCCAAAGCAGUGAAGUCCCAGGCAUUAAUCUUCAACAAAUAUUUAUUGAAAUCUGGCAGUCCAGACAUGCUUAUUCCAGGAGAAGCUGACAAGUAAAAGAGGGAGAAAGAGAGACAGGCAUGCGACCAAGCACAGUUUAUUUUCACAAGCUGCAUGCUAGCGAACAAAGACCUAGGAGAGCACAUCAAAAAAGGCAAUAUGUUCUGGCUGGGGGCUUGGAGCAGUCUGGAAGAACUCACAGAAGUGAUGACAUUCAAAGAAGGCCUGAGGAAGUAAAGAAAUUCACCGGGCAGAGAAAGAAGGGAAGGACAUUUUACAUCAGAGUGGGAACAGCACGAGCAUAUCAUGGCAGCGAAGAGCAUAUGGCACUUUUAUGAUAGAACGUAAGAUGCAGAGGUGGGAAGGUGGCAGAGGACAUUCAAAAGUGACGUUGCAGUCAUAUUCUGAGGGAUCUGACAGAUGAGCUGUUAAGAAAUAUGGACUCUGUUCUAUCAGUAUUAUGAAAUCAUUGAAUCAUUCAUUCAUUGAAAUGGUAUUUUCGGAGGACUUACUAUGUGCUAAGUACUGUGUCAGCCUCUGAAGAUUAAAAUAAAAAGGAAGGCCCUCCAGGGACUCACAGUCUGGUAGGGAGAAAGGCAGGCAAACAGUCACAGUACGGAUAGCUGAGAAGUCCGUAUCAUUUUCAAUGCUACCAAUGGAUGACUGGAAGAAAGGAAAGAAUUGGCAGUUUGGACUUCACGCUAGGGACAAUGUAGCUCAAGAGAUAUGUGGGAGAUGAUACUGAUGUUUUUACAUUUGUCCAAAGAAAGAUUGAAUGAGAAACUUUGAUGUGGUCCAUAUCCUCAUUUUAUUGGCGGCUCAAAGCGCAUGUUACUUGAGAGGUAGAGGCGCCCAUGGUAAAGAACAAUGACCCAGGGAGAAGCUAUCUGGAGUUUGACACCGUGACGAUGGUACCUGCCUCCGAGUUGUUUGAGAGUGGCAACUGAGAAAGCAUUUGGGAAAACACACGGUUUUUUGCUGGGGUCUAAUAGCCGUGAAAACUCAAUAUACGUGCUUCCAUUUACUAUUCAACACCACACAAGGAAAUAUAGGUGAGUGAGAAUUGAAACCCGUAUCUACACAGAAGACCUGGGAGAUGACCUGAAUGUUUGCAGAGUCUGAAACAUAAACUAGAAAUGUUCUCUUGAAGACAACUCAAGUUCUUGUGUUUUGUCACCCUUGGCUUUUUACUCUGUAAACAGAAAAAUACUCAGUUAUUUGAACUUUCUUGUUACUGAGACUCUAGAUAAUUAAAGUUUCAUAUAUCCGUCUGGAAAGAUAGACAUCAGGUACCUUGUUACAUGGUGCUUUUCUUGAUGGCUAUGUGUUUAGUAACAUCAAAAGCAUGUUUACUAAGCAGGGAAAGGAGAGGCUGGAUUGAUGUUGGAGUCAGACAUCGCUCUCCAAUCUCCUCAGAAGGGUGCGGUGGUUUAAGUGUGGCUCAGAGAGUCACUGGAAUUUGGAAACUCCCGAAUUAAAGUAAUAAGCAUGUUGGGAUUCAAAUUUAGGCCGAAGAGAGAGGUUUGUCUGAGAAAACUCAACACCCUAUGAUAUCUACAAUUCUGCUCUUUGAUAUCAUUUCAUUUUGCAGUUUCAUAAGGAGUCUGUGAAAAUUCAGUCUCAAGUCAAAUAAAAAGAUUUUAAAAACAAGACUAUAUCUUGAAACUGUUUGCAAGUGUUACCAGAACUGGUGGUUCUGAAUACUGGAGUUGAAUUUCUCGCAGAGUUUCUAUUGUUAAUUUCCACUGUUAGUUUUACAAUUUUGUUCUAGAGGCCUGUUCUGGCCCAAACCUGACCAACAGGUUCCCAAUUAUGUGUAAAUUGAAAACGUGAAGGAGAAACAGCCGGCCAUGAUUUAGUACACAUUUUCAUGCUAAAACCAAACCAAACCAAACCAAAACAAUGCUAGAGAUUGCAGAAACAGAGUGUCUGUCUAGGAACACUGGGAUACUUGUGUUUAAAUGCAGGCAAGCAGACAUGUCACACAUGAUUCCCAUCCACCAUCUCCAUCCAGAGAGCCCGUGGUGAAGAUCAUCCCAUAAAUCAGAGAUGGAGGAUUUCGAGGCUGAUGAGUUUCUCAGAGCCCUUUUGCUGAUUUAGAUAUGGGUUCUGUCUCUCUCCAGUUAAACACUUUCUAUUCUCCAUUUCAGGAUUUGGGGAGAUUAGGAUUUGGGUGUCUUACCAGGUUCAAUACUGUGUACAUGCUACUGCUGCUGCUGGUCACUCUACAUUUAAGCCUUCUCAUAAUUCCUUUGAUUAGAAUUCAGACAGCUUUUUGUGGCCAUAAAAAAGAACUGAAGUCAUAUCCUCUGCAGAAACAUGGAUGGAGUUGGAGAACAUCAGCCUAAGUGCACUAACUCAGUCAGAAACAGAAAACCAAAUACCACGUGUUCUCACUGGAAAGUGGGAGCUAAAUAACCGGUACA
rnacentral:lncRNA from 1 species